rnacentral:rRNA from 1 species
GUGGGGAAUCUUGCGCAAUGGGCGAAAGCCUGACGCAGCCAUGCCGCGUGAAUGAUGAAGGUCUUAGGAUUGUAAAAUUCUUUCACCGGGGACGAUAAUGACGGUACCCGGAGAAGAAGCCCCGGCUAACUUCGUGCCAGCAGCCGCGGUAAUACGAAGGGGGCUAGCGUUGCUCGGAAUUACUGGGCGUAAAGGGCGCGUAGGCGGACAGUUUAGUCAGAGGUGAAAGCCCAGGGCUCAACCUUGGAAUUGCCUUUGAUACUGUCUGUCUUGAGUACGGGAGAGGUGAGUGGAACUCCGAGUGUAGAGGUGAAAUUCGUAGAUAUUCGGAAGAACACCAGUGGCGAAGGCGACUCACUGGCCCGUUACUGACGCUGAGGCGCGAAAGCGUGGGGAGCAAACAGGAUUAGAAACCCGAGUAGUCC